GUGAGGAAUAUUGGUCAAUGGGCGAGAGCCUGAACCAGCCAAGUCGCGUGAAGGAAGAAGGAUCUAUGGUUCGUAAACUUCUUUUGCAGGGGAAUAAAGUGCGGGACGUGUCCUGUUUUGUAUGUACCCUGAGAAUAAGGAUCGGCUAACUCCGUGCCAGCAGCCGCGGUAAUACGGAGGAUCCGAGCGUUAUCCGGAUAUAUUGGGUUUAAAGGGUGCGUAGGUGGUUUGAUAAGUCAGCGGUGAAAGUUUGCAGCUUAACUGUAAAAAUGCCGUUGAAACUGUCGGUCUUGAGUGUAAAUGAGGUAGGCGGAAUGCGUGGUGUAGCGGUGAAAUGCAUAGAUAACACGAAGAACUCCGAUUGCGAAGGCAGCUUACUAAGCUACAACUGACACUGAAGCACGAAAGCGUGGGGAUCAAACAGGAUUAGAAACCCGAGUAGUCC
rnacentral:rRNA from 1 species